rnacentral:rRNA from 1 species
UUUUUGAGAAUUUGAUCCUGGUUCAGGAUGAACGCUGGCGGCGUGCCUUAGGCAUGCAAGUCGAACGGGAAGGUGCCAUACGGUACCUUCCAGUGGCAGACGGGUGAGUAUCGCGUAGGAAUCUACCUCUAGGCGGACCAUAGCUCAUCGAAAGAUGGGGUAAUAGUCCAUAGUCCAGGUGCCGCAUGGUACCUGGUAAAGCGCUUAACUGCGCACCAAGAGAGGAGCCUGCGUCCUAUCAGCUUGUUGGUGGGGUAAAAGCCUACCAAGGCUCUGACGGGUAGCUGGACUGAGAGGUCGAUCAGCCACAACUGCACUGAAACACGGGCAGUACACCUAC